UACGUAGGGCGCAAGCGUUGUCCGGAAUUAUUGGGCGUAAAGAGCUCGUAGGCGGCCAGUUGCGUCUGCUGUGAAAUCCCGGGGCUCAACCCCGGGCGUGCAGUGGAUACGGGCUGGCUAGAGGCAGGCAGGGGAGAACGGAAUUCCUGGUGUAGCGGUGAAAUGCGCAGAUAUCAAGAGGAACACCUGAGGUGAAGACGGGUUGCUGGGCUGAUACUGACGCUGAGGCGCGAAAGCUAGGGUAGCAAACGGG
rnacentral:rRNA from 1 species